UAAGAUCCUGAUAGUGUAAAGGUUACAGAUCUUUCCGAGACUAUGGAGAGGCAGUGUUGAAGCACUUGGAGAACUCUAUUGAUUUAGACCCAAAGCUUCAGAAAGCUCCAGUAAAUUAUGAAGGAGUCUGGGUAUCUGGGUUUGGAGGAUGGUUCCUUUUGAGGUUCUCGCUUCAUGAUCCUGUUCUUCCUCUUAACAUUGAGGCACCAACUCACGAUGACGCUGUAAAACUUGGACUUGCCGUGCUUGGGGCUGUUAAGGAGUUU